UCAAAUCAGAUCAAUCUCUCUCUUUUCUCCGAUCCAAAUCUCAAACCCAAAUCAAUAACAACUCAGCCCUCACCGUCUUAACCAUUUUUGACUCUGACAAGGCUUCCUCGCUUCCAACGCCUUUGCUUCGUUUCCAAUUCUCCACUCUCCUUGUCCGACGAUCUACACGUCAAGCCAUCUCUACUCUCCGUAACCGCUCUCACGGAGUCCAUUUCAUGUUCCGGCGUCGGCGUGCACUGAGAACCUUCUUAGGAAGAGGAAACGCGUCGUUUUGGAAUGCUGACAUCUCCAGCCUCGUCGAUUAACUCCAGGAGAAGCUCGGCGUUUUCAUCACAGCCCUCGUUCCUGUGGGUCGCCCUACCAAGCCUACCAUCAUGUUGAUGAUGUAGAUUCUAAGAUGGCCAAAACAAGGCAGUAGGACUUCUUCAAAUAACUACAUGCCUGCAGAUGGCCAAAACACUGGAAACUUCAUUACGAAUUCUUCCCUUUUGCAUUUGUAGUAAUAGAUUUCAAAAAUCAUGUGAAUUUGGAUAUUGAAGUCUCCAUUGGCCAAGAGAUUAUUCAGCUAACCAAGAAGUUUUGAAAUGAAGUCUUGUGCUGAAGGUGGCAAUAUUAUGCCUAUGGGAUUAGGACGUCACUAUUGAAAAAUGACAGUAACAUUACAACAUUGACAGCAGCUUUAUACAACUAUUGUAAUUGAUUUUCACAACUAUAUUAGUGACUU